rnacentral:tRNA from 1 species
GCCAUAAUAGUAUAAUGGUAUUACGAGGCCAUGGUAAGGCUUUAAUCGGUGUUCAAUUCACCGUUAUGGCA